rfam:Brachypodium distachyon strain Bd21 chromosome 1, whole genome shotgun sequence.
UAUGUACUCCCUCCGUCUCGUAUUAAGUGACUCAAAUUUGUCUUAAUAUGGAUGUAUCUAUACCAAAAAAACGUCUACAUACAUGUAAUAUUUCGUCACUUAAUAUGGGACGGAAGGAGUACCAG